GUUGUGGCUCAGUGGUAGAGUGCUCGUCUAGUAUUCAUGAGGCACUGGGUUCGAUCCUCAGCACAACA
rnacentral:tRNA from 1 species